UACGGAGGGUGCGAGCGUUGUUCGGAAUCACUGGGCGUAAAGAGCGUGUAGGCGGCCUCAUAAGUCUGCUGUGAAAGUCCAGGGCUCAACCCUGGGAUGUCAGUGGAUACUGUGAGGCUCGAGUCCGGAAGAGGAGUGUGGAAUUCCUGGUGUAGCGGUGAAAUGCGUAGAUAUCGAGAGGAACACCUGCGGCGAAGGCGGGUAGCUGGGCCGACACUGACGCUGAUGCGCGAAAGCCAGGGGAGCGAACGGG
rnacentral:rRNA from 1 species